rnacentral:rRNA from 1 species
AGAGACAGCAGCCGCCGCGGGAAUACGGAGGGAGCUAGCGUUGUUCGGAAUUACUGGGCGUAAAGCGCGCGUAGGCGGUUACUCAAGUCAGAGGUGAAAGCCCGGGGCUCAACCCCGGAACUGCCUUUGAAACUAGGUGACUAGAAUCUUGGAGAGGUCAGUGGAAUUCCGAGUGUAGAGGUGAAAUUCGUAGAUAUUCGGAAGAACACCAGUGGCAAAGGCGACUGACUGGACAAGUAUUGACGCUGAGGUGCGAAAGCGUGGGGAGCAAACAGGAUUAGAUACCCCAGUAGUCCCUGUCUCUUAUAC